rnacentral:rRNA from 1 species
GAGUUUGAUCCUGGCUCAGGACGAACGCUGGCGGCGUGCCUAAUACAUGCAAGUCGAGCGGAUCUUCAUUAGCUUGCUUUUGAAGAUCAGCGGCGGACGGGUGAGUAACACGUGGGCAACCUGCCUGUAAGACUGGGAUAACUUCGGGAAACCGGAGCUAAUACCGGAUGAUCCUUUUCCUCUCAUGAGGAAAAGCUGAAAGACGGUUUCGGCUGUCACUUACAGAUGGGCCCGCGGCGCAUUAGCUAGUUGGUGAGGUAACGGCUCACCAAGGCGACGAUGCGUAGCCGACCUGAGAGGGUGAUCGGCCACACUGGGACUGAGACACGGCCCAGACUCCUACGGGAGGCAGCAGUAGGGAAUCGUUCCGCAAUGGACGAAAGUCUGACGGAGCAACGCCGCGUGAGCGAUGAAGGCCUUCGGUCGUAA